AUUUUUCUAGUAUAAACAGUACAUUUGACUUCCAAUCAAAAAGCUUGAAUUAAUCAAGAAAAAUA
rnacentral:tRNA from 4 species